rnacentral:rRNA from 1 species
UACGUAGGCAGCGAGCGUUGUUCGGAGUUACUGGGCGUAAAGGGUGUGUAGGCGGUUUUCUAAGUUUGGUGUGAAAUCUCCCGGCUCAACCGGGAGGGUGCGCCGAAAACUGGGAGACUAGAGUGCGGGAUGGGAGAGUAGAAUUCCUGGUGUAGCGGUGAAAUGCGUAGAUAUCAGGAGGAAUACCGGUGGCGAAGGCGGCAUCCUGGACCAAUAUUGACGCUGAGGAGCGAAAGCCAGGGGAGCAAACGGG